CAAAAAAGAAAAAGAAAAAAAGAAAUACAUACAGUUGUUCUUUGGUACACACAGGGGAUUGGUUCCAGGACCCCCAUGUGGAUUGAAAUCUGCGCAUACUCAAGUCCCUUAGAACUUACAUAUAUGAAAAAUCGGCCCCCGACACAGACAAUAGGGAACUACAGAAUUAUCAAUGCUGUUGCCAAAUAAAGCUUGCAGCCCUCUCCAAUGGGACAUUUGGUGGAGAUCAAUACCAGAUCUAGAUCAAAUUUACCGUUAGGAGAGAGGACCAAGAAUUUGCCACUGCACCAUCAAGUGAACAUGUGAGAAGGACUACACUGAGACAGCUGGAAAACGUGCCUUGAAAGGACAAGAGCAAGUAUGAGCUGUUUAUUGUGCAAGUCUGUGUUGCUAUAAAAAACAGUCAACUACAGUGCAUUCUGUUUCUGCACUGUUAACCUUGAGAAAUGUGAAAACCACCAUGGGAAGCAGAAAA